UACGGAGGGUGCGAGCGUUGUCCGGAAUUACUGGGCGUAAAGGGCGCGUAGGCGGACAGUUAAGUCGGGGGGUGAAAGCCCGGGGCUCAACCUCGGAAUUGCCUUCGAUACUGGCUGUCUUGAGUGUGAGAGAGGUGUGUGGAACUCCGAGUGUAGAGGUGAAAUUCGUAGAUAUUCGGAAGAACACCAGUGGCGAAGGCGACACACUGGCUCACUACUGA
rnacentral:rRNA from 1 species